CUAAAAAUACCUGUGACUAAAACAUAGCCUUAAUUAUGAGUAGGCAUGGCAUGUUAGUGACUUCCUAGCAUUAGAAAAUACAGGUGGAAACCCAGUUAGAAAGUCUCUCGGUAGACACUGGUGUAUCUUAAGCUCAGUCUGCAAAAGAUACAAAUAGCCUCAGAGAAGUUCAAAAAAGGUUUAGUCCUGUCCAAAUAGCAUGUCAUUAUCUUCCUAAUAUCCCAAAGAAUGGAGGGCAGCAUCUUCCCUAGUUUGAUGGGGUUUAGGAUAAAAUAUGGGGAGAUGAAUAGUCCAAUUUAUAUGAAAGUCUGAGGAACACGUCAUCUUUGAAGAAAACAGUACAGAAGGGUCAGCCAUUGAAGCCCCUUGCUCACAAAGGCAUUUUCCUAGAAAGGUGUAAAAGCAUACCAGUAGCUGUUGGUUUAAAGGGAGGUUUUGUCAAAUUGAGAGCUAGGUUCAAGAUCCAGGUUGGGGUGGGCUCCCUGACAUGUGGGAAAAGGUUUGAUAACUAUUUGAUAAACCCAGAAGUUGCAAGGUGAGCAAACACAUAGGACUCUUCUACAGGCAAAUGAAACACUGUGGUGGCUGCCAGAUGGACUUCAGUGGAGCUCAAGGAGAGACCUCCCUUUCUUCGGGGUACUCUAAAGUAUUCUAAAACUUCCAAGAUGGGAAAAUCCAUAGGAGACAGGUGUUGCUGAGUGCACCAAUGGUAAAUCUUUUUCAUUUCUGAAGGUAAGUUUUCCUGGUGGAUUCCUUUCUACUGUUGAGCAGGACCUCCUGCACCUCCCUGGAACAGGAGAGCUCUAUCUCUGACAACCAUCCAGGUACCAGGCUUUGAGUCAGAGUUUUGAGAUGGGGUGAAGAAUGUUCCCUUUGUCCCACACGAGAAGGCUAGACAUCAAUGGUAGAUUGAUAGCCAGUCGAGAGGAGCGGUGAAGGAGAUAAGGGAACCAUACUUAUCUUGGCCAGGUUGGUGCAAUCAAAAUGCCUGUGGCUCUGUCCUGUCUGAUUUUGUUCAGGUCCCUGAGGAUUAGCAGCAUUGGAGGAAAGACAUAUAGAAGGUUCUUCGACCAUGAGCGGAGAAAGUCAUCCCCCCAAGAAUGAUGACCCAGACCUCCCUUUGAGCAGAAGUUCAUGAAUCUUCAGCUGGCAACAAUGGCAAAGGGAUCUAUCGCUGGAAAACCCCAGGUCUGACUUUGUCAAAGUAGGUUGUCCUUCAAGACAUCUCAUCCAAGAAGCUGAUCCUGCAAACACUUAGAAUGUACAUCACUUCAGUUGUCAAACUGGGAUCCAACAUAAAAAUAUUCUCCGAUUUAUUUUCUUCAGUGUGAGAAGGAUGUACUACACUAAGGACAAACUCUUCCAUUCCUGUGGAAACACACUGAACAACUAUCAAGAUUUCAAAUUAACUCUAUUUUUCUUCAGCACAAUAUGAACCUAGUAAUAUAUAUAUUUUUUAAAUAAAUGUAAUCUAAAAUGAAUGAAUUAAACUAAGAUCACUGUUAAAGAUUGACUUACAUCUACAAUUUAAAUGGAGGGAAGCAUCUAUUAUGUCCCUCAGUAUAAAAACACCAUUUUUAAAAAGAAAUGUUGCCUAAGGAGGCUUCAUAAUACAGAGAGAAUACAGACAUAGCCAUAGCAGAGGACAUAGUUUUCCUUACCUUCUU